CCUACGGGAGGCAGCAGUAGGGAAUCUUCGGCAAUGGGGGGAACCCUGACCGAGCAACGCCGCGUGAGUGAAGAAGGUUUUCGGAUCGUAAAGCUCUGUUGUAAGAGAAGAACGGGUGCGAGAGUGGAAAGUUCACACUGUGACGGUAUCUUACCAGAAAGGGACGGCUAACUACGUGCCAGCAGCCGCGGUAAUACGUAGGUCCCGAGCGUUGUCCGGAUUUAUUGGGCGUAAAGCGAGCGCAGGCGGUUAGAUAAGUCUGAAGUUAAAGGCUGUGGCUUAACCAUAGUACGCUUUGGAAACUGUUUAACUUGAGUGCAAGAGGGGAGAGCGGAAUUCCAUGUGUAGCGGUGAAAUGCGUAGAUAUAUGGAGGAACACCGGUGGCGAAAGCGGCUCUCUGGUCUGUAACUGACGCUGAGGCUCGAAAGCGUGGGGAGCGAACAGGAUUAGAUACCCUGGUAGUCCACGCCGUAAACGAUGAGUGCUAGGUGUUAGGCCCUUUCCGGGGCUUAGUGCCGCAGCUAACGCAUUAAGCACUCCGCCUGGGGAGUACGACCGCAAGGUUGAAACUCAAAGGAAUUGACGG
rnacentral:rRNA from 1 species